UAAUGGUAAAGUUGUGGUAAAGGAGCAAGCCAAGGCUGGAAAGGCUACCUCUGGGAAAGUUUCUGAUAAUGCAGAACCUUCUGCCAAGACCAAAUCUAAGGCAGAAGCAAAGUCUGAGAAACCAAAACCAGAAGAUUCUGAUGAUGAUGAUUCUGAGGAUGAUGAUGAGUCUGAUGACGACUCUGAUAGCGAAGAUGAGGCCAUGCCUGAUGCUGGGGUUGAGAG
rnacentral:misc_RNA from 1 species